AACGAACGCUGGCGGCAUGCCUAACACAUGCAAGUCGAACGAGACCUUCGGGUCUAGUGGCGCACGGGUUCGUAACGCGUGGGAACCUGCCCUUAGGUUCGGAAUAACUCCCCGAAAUGGGUGCUAAUACCGGUUAAUGUCUUCGGACCAAAGAUUUAUCGCCUUUGGAUGGGCCCGCGUUGGAUUAGCUAGUUGGUAGGGUAAAAGCCUACCAAGGCGACGAUCCAUAGCUGGUCUGAGAGGAUGAUCAGCCACACUGGGACUGAGACACGGCCCAGACUACUACGGGAGGGAGCAGUGGGGAAUAUAGGAAAAUGGGCGAAAGCCUGAACGAGCAAUGCCGCGUGAGUGAUGAAGGCAUGAGGGUAGUAAAGCUCUUUUACCCGGGAUGAUAAUGACAGUACCGGGAGAAUAAGCACCGGCUAACUCCGUG
rnacentral:rRNA from 1 species